rnacentral:tRNA from 1 species
AGCGGGGUAGGGUAGCUAGGAGUGCCCGCUGGGCUCAUAACCCGGAGACCGGUGGUUCAAAGAUUCGGCUUUUAAUAAGCUCAUUGUUGAGAGUCCACCCCCCGCUA